rnacentral:rRNA from 1 species
CAGUCGCCGCGGGAAUACGAAGGGGGCUAGCGUUGCUCGGAAUUACUGGGCGUAAAGGGAGCGUAGGCGGAUCGUUAAGUUGGGGGUGAAAGCCCGGGGCUCAACCUCGGAACUGCCUUCAAUACUGGCGGUCUUGAGUAUGAGAGAGGUGUGUGGAACUCCGAGUGUAGAGGUGAAAUUCGUAGAUAUUCGGAAGAACACCAGUGGCGAAGGCGACACACUGGCUCAUUACUGACGCUGAGGCUCGAAAGCGUGGGGAGCAAACAGGAUUAGAUACCCCUGUAGUCCCUGUCUCUUAUAC